UCUCCGUUGGUGAACCAGCGGAGGGAUCAUUACCAUAGUUUUACAACUCCCAACCCUUCUGUGAACCUACCUGUCGUUGCUUCGGCGGACUCGACCCAGCUUCCGGACGGCCCCGCGCCGGCCCGCGACCUGGACCCGGGCCGCCGCCCGAGCCCACACAAUCCUGUAUCCAACAGUCUCUCUGAAUUCGCCGCAAGGCAAAACAAACGAAUAAAAACUUUCAACAAUGGAUCUCUUGGUUCUG
rnacentral:misc_RNA from 1 species